rnacentral:rRNA from 1 species
UAAUACGUAGGAUGCAAGCGUUGUCCGGAAUUAUUGGGCGUAAAGAGCGCGCAGGCGGCCAUUCAAGUCAGAUGUGAAAGACCCCGGCUUAACCGGGGCUAGUCGUCUGAAACUGGAUAGCUAGAGUGGCAGAGAGGAAAGCGGAAUUCCCGGUGUAGUGGUGAAAUGCGUAGAUAUCGGGAGGAACACCAGAGGCGAAGGCGGCUUUCUGGCUGCUAACUGACGCUGAGGCGCGAAGGCUGGGGUAGCGAACAGGAUUAGAUACCCUGGUAGUCCCAGCAGUAAACGAUGGAUACUAGGUGUGCGGGGAAAUUGACCCCCUGCGUGCCAAAGCUAACGCAAUAAGUAUCCCGCCUGGGGAGUACGGUCGCAAGAUUA